rnacentral:lncRNA from 1 species
UGAAAACCUAUCGUUGCAAGGCAAGCUCAAAAUGCCAACAGCAUACCACAGUACUGUUCCGUGACGUUUGUAUAAGGUAGCGCUUCCACACAGCUGUUGAUAUUUUCCGUCCGAACAGACCGGGUGCGCCCCACUCCGACGACUAGCUGAUAUCCGUAUGAGCUCGAGGACUGCCGGACCAGACCCCAUGCCUACCGAGCUGCCACACAUAUUCCGCUCAUCUUUAAAACCCC